UUUCCGUAGGUGAACCUGCGGAAGGAUCAUUACUGAGUUAGGGCCCUCUGGGUCCAACCACCCACCCGUGUUUAUUAUACCUUGUUGCUUCGGUGAGCCCGCCUCACGGCCGCCGGGGGGCAUCUGCCCCCGGGCCCGCGCCCACCGAAGACACCUAGAACUCUGUAUGAAGAUUGCAGUAUGAGCAAAAACUAAAUAAGUUAAAACUUUCAACAACGGAUCUCUUGGUUCCG
rnacentral:misc_RNA from 1 species